AUGGUAUAAGUAAGAAAGAGAAAAACUUUCGACUUUCAAGCUUAACGAAAUAUUAAUAUGUUAAAAGACAAAAAGCGUAACACAAUUUUUCAAGAAGAAGCUGGGAAAUGCGCAAUAGUUUGGUUCAUUUUUGGGUUUCAACCAGUAAGUUCUUAUUUGCUAAAUAUUUUAAUUACGAAGCCGAGAAAAAAUUAUUGAAGUAAGUUUACAAAAACUACUGGACAUUGCUGGCCGUAAUGUCACACGAUAUCUGUUUAAGGUUGGAGGCACUUAGUACACAUAUUAAUUUGGUUAUAAGUUUAAUCACACCUCUGCCUUUGAAACUGCAUGAUCAAAGAGAAACUUUGCAAUAUCACCUAUGACAUCGGGAUGGAACAUUACCUGAUGGUUAUGUGAUAAAAGUUUUGAGGAGCAAUUCCAACCGCAUUUAAUAAACGUUGAAGCACAAGGCAUCAAUGAGUCAGUGUUUACCACCAUACAAACGGCAAAUAUCGAUAUAUGACUGGAAUUGUACAAGCAUAUCUUGCGUGUGAGGAUAAAUUAGCGAUAUCCGUCUUCCAGGGCUCUACACUCUGGUACAAAAUUACAACGAGGCAUUUCGCCAGGCAAAGUUGGUGGUAUACUAACUUUAUUGCUUAUGGAAUAUAAUAUAUAAUAUAAAAAUUUGUCUGCUAAUUAUUGCACGCAAUGAUUGUCACUUCAGCAGUGUGACAACUCAGUUUUCAUUUCUAUGAAAAUUUCGAAGAGGCAACAUAUAUGUACUGGCGGCAGCUUCAUUUCGAUUAUUUUAAAUUUAUUAGCGCGAGUAUAACGGUGGUUGUGUUAAAUUAUAAAAAUAA